ensembl:lncRNA
ACGAGGGAGUCGGGACACAAAUACUGCUCAAUGGAACGUGCUCAUACUCGGUCUUGUUCAACCUCAAAAGUAGCUGGCUCAAAACUUUCUAGACCAUCGGAAACAAUGAAGAGAAAUAUCCCUGUCAUUGAUGAAUCCGUUGCGGAGGACGUAGCGGAAAUUUCUUCCACCGUGGCCCCAAAUGCACAAAUAACUGCAAAAAGACUACGCCAUGAGCUGGAGAUGGCCAAACAAAAAGUGGCAGCAGGAGAUGCUCAAGGAAGUGACCAAGGAGAGAGCCUUUCUAAGGGAACAACUGGCUAUGACAAUAAAAUAGGACAAGGGCGUUCCAUCAGAGGACAGCACAAGUCCCUUACAGCAAACCACUUCCGCCGCUUCAGGUACUUUCUCUUCUGAUUCCUCCGACUCGUCAUCCAACUCUUCAUAUGACUCUUCCUCCACGGAUGAGGGACGGAAGAAGAAAAAGAAGAACAGCAAAACAGUAGAGAGACGGAAGCAGGGGAAACGGGGAAAGAAAAGAAAGGAGCAAAGUGUUCACCAGAGAGCUCGAGAUCCUGAAGUGGUGGCCCGAUACCGAAAGGUGUUGAAAAUCUGCCAGGAGGGAAGGACCAUGGGGGCUGCUUUCAGAGCUGUGGGUGUUGACCGCAACACUAUUGUCGUGAAUGCCCCAAUGGCAGAACUUUGCAUUGCUGCCCCAGAAACAUUUGCAGAGCUCAAAGAG